AGGUUUUUGUGUGAACAAAUGUUCUCAUUUGUCUGGAAUAAAUACCCAGGAAUGCAAACGAUGGUACAUACAGUAAUUGCAUACUUAGUUUUAUAAGAAACUGCCUCUUUUCCAGAAUGGCUGUGCCAUUUCACAUCUAUACCAGCAAUAUAUGAACAAUCUAGUUUCUCUGCAUCCUUGUCAGCAUGUGGUAUCAUCACUAUUUAUUAUUUUAGCCAUUCUGGCACUGGACAUAUAACGCUGAACAAGAUAAUUAUGGGACUUGAACUCUAGAAUUGCAAAUGCUGAUCAACACUAUGAAGGGACUGCAGCAUUGAGAUGACAAGGGGGAGAGACUCAGAUUUAAUUGGCAUGACAUGCAACCUAGAUUGGAUUUUCUGAAAGCUGCAAGAUGAUUCUAAUGGAGCAAAGUUUGACAACCACAGUCACCAAACAAAUGCUUCCUUCACAAAGAGAAGAUGAGAAGUUGCGUCUGGAUGAAACAUUCUGUCACAGAUUCAUUUCAGCUUCAUGUCACAGCUUGUGUAUUAUUUAGAGGUCAAGAAGAAGAUAACCAGCACCUCAGAAGCUCUCUUCAUACACCCCUCAACCACUACUCACUGGAUUUGUUUGGCCUAUUUUCAAACAUUGUAUCUAUAAAAUCAUAUAGUAUGCAUUACUUCGUUUUGCUUUUCCAUUCCACAUUAUGUUUGUGAGAUAUAUCAAUGUGACCGUAGGUGGUAGUAGUUUGACCUAUUUCAUUGUUAUAUAGUAUUUCAUCUUAUGCCUAUACCAUGAUUUAUCUAUUCUUCUCUUGAUUAACAUGUAACUUGUUUUCAGUUUGGGAACAGUAUAAAGUUAUGUUGCUAUAAAACAUUUUUACAUGGCUUCUGGCACUACUAAGUACUAUUCAUUGUUGACUCUAUAACAUGGAGUAUUCAUUGCUGGGCCACAGGGUGUGUGUAUGUUUAACUUUAGUUACUACUGUCAAUUCCUUUUCAAAAGUGGUUGUACAGGUACCAAAUUUGUUCUCACACCAGCCAUUUAUGCAGAAUCCAGUGACUCCAUAUCUUUGCCAACACUUGGUAUCUCAUUAUGGUUUUAAUUUUCCUGUUCCUAAUCACUAAUGAAAUUAAGUUUUUUUUUUUUAAGUACCAACACUACUUUAACAGAAUUGACUUUCUGAUAUCAUUGAUUUAUCUUUAUCUAGAACUGCUCUUCAUGGUAGGCAACUCACUAGUUGAUGCCCUUAAAACUUUUCCUUAGAGAGUACAGAUUUUUAAUCUAAAAAUUAGCAAGUGUGUUAUAUGGACAUUUUCUUUGUGUAACAACAACACAGGUAAAAAUAAACAACUUUCUAAAUAUUAAUACCACUUUUAAAAGCUAUUCUGAAAUUCUUUAUCCUUACAAGUAUUUGGUGAAAAGGUGAGGUAAUUUUAUUGGCAUAAAUGUAUAUCUCAUAAUUAUCAACAAACAAAAUGAAUUCCAACUGUAAUACUCAGACACGUUUUGCAUGAAAAGUAACCUGGAAUGGCAAAUGCAAUAGUAUCUCCUUAUUUUUUAGGCCAUUAAAAAUCAUUGCUGGCUGGGCGCAGUGGCUCAUGCCUGUAAUCCAGCACUUUGGGAGGCCGAGGCAGGUGGAUCACCUGAGGUCGGGAGUUCAAGACCAGCCUGGCCAACAUGGUGAAACCCCGUCUCUACUAAAAAUACAAAAAUUAGCCAGGCUUGGUGGUGCAUGCCUGUAGUCCCAGGUACUCGGGAGGCUGAGGCAGGAGAAUCACUUGAACCCAGGAGGCAGAGGUUGCAGUGAGCUGAGAUGGAGCCAUUACACUCCAGCCUGGGUGACAGAGCGAAACUCUGUCUCAAAAAAAAAAAAGAAAAAAUAAUUGCCACUUCCACCCACAUCAUCAAUGAAGAAGGGCAGCAACAAAUUCGGCUACAUAAAGAUGACAAAUAUACAAAGGACAGCCUGUGAGAAGGGACAGGUUUAGAUUUUUGGCUUCAUGCUCAGGUUUCAUAUUUUCCAAUUUGAAUUUCUACUGAUUUUGAUAUCCUUUUUAUGUUCUGAUUAGGCAGAUUAAAUAUGUCUAUAAAGAAUUUUCCAGAUACAUGAUAUUACAUAAGAUCAUAAUAAAAUUAUUUGAAGACACCGG
rnacentral:lncRNA from 10 species